GACGAACGCUGGCGGCGUGCUUAACACAUGCAAGUCGAACGGAAAGGCCCUGCUUUUGUGGGGUGCUCGAGUGGCGAACGGGUGAGUAACACGUGAGUAACCUGCCCUUGACUUUGGGAUAACUUCAGGAAACUGGGGCUAAUACCGGAUAGGAGCUCCUGCUGCAUGGUGGGGGUUGGAAAGUUUCGGCGGUUGGGGAUGGACUCGCGGCUUAUCAGCUUGUUGGUGGGGUAGUGGCUUACCAAGGCUUUGACGGGUAGCCGGCCUGAGAGGGUGACCGGCCACAUUGGGACUGAGAUACGGCCCAGACUCCUACGGGAGGCAGCAGUGGGGAAUAUUGCACAUUUGGCGGAAUCUUUAUGCAGCAACGCCGCUGGCGGGAUAACGGCCUUCGGGUUGUAAACCGCUUUCGCCUGUGACGAAGCGUGAGUGACGGUAAUUGGUAAAGAAGCACCUGCUUACUACGUG
rnacentral:rRNA from 1 species